GGGUAAUGUAGUUCUGGUACCCGGGAAUCAGAAUUCGUUCUUGCUCGGUCGCCAAUGUCUUCUGAGAUGUGCUGCAACAAAAUUAAAGAAGAAAAUGCUAGUAAUGUUUGUUAAAAAAAAAUCCUGAAAAUCAUGAUACUAUUAUCCUUUGAUCCAUAAUAUGGUAUAAAAUUGAAUUGCCUGGAAUCUGAAAAAGAAUAGGGAGUGCUUCUGAAAGAUGAUUGGAGCAGAAGAAAACUGAUCUAUUAAGCUUAUUGUAAAGGCAGAAUUUGGAUAGCUGUGACCAGAUUCAAAAGCGAGAUGUUCAGAAAACAGACUGAAGAUCACAACGGAUGGGAAAAUACUAAUCAGUACAGAACUUUAUUAUUCUUGAUAAUAAAGACAACUGUAGCUUAG